UUAGAGUUUGAUCAUGGCUCAGAACGUACGCUGGCGGCACGCCUAAUACAUGCAAGUCGAACGAAGUAGCAAUACUUAGUGGCAGACGGGUGAGUAACAUGUAGGUAUCUUCCCAUUGGUGAGGAAUAACACGAGGAAACUUGUGCUAAUACCUCAUAAGUCUUUACGGAGAAAGCUUUAUGCGCCGAUGGAUGAGCCUGCACUUGAUUAGUUUGUUGGUAGGGUAAUGGCCUACCAAGACAAUGAUCAAUAGCUGAUUUGAGAGGAUGAUCAGCCACAUUGGGACUGAGACACGGCCCAAACUCCUACGGGAGGCAGCAGUAGGGAAUCUUGCACAAUGGGGGAAACCCUGAUGCAGCGAUGCCGCGUGAGUGAAGAAGGCCUUUGGGUUGUAAAGCUCUUUCGUCGGGGAAGAAAAUGACUGUACCCGAAUAAGAAGGUCCGGCUAACUUCGUGCCAGCAGCCGCGGUAAUACGAAGGGACCUAGCGUAGUUCGGAAUUACUGGGCUUAAAGAGUUCGUAGGUGGUUAAAAAAGUUGGUGGUGAAAUCCCAGAGCUUAACUCUGGAACUGCCAUCAAAACUUUUUAGCUAGAGUAUGAUAGAGGAAAGCAGAAUUUCUAGUGUAGAGGUGAAAUUCGUAGAUAUUAGAAAGAAUACCAAUUGCGAAGGCAGCUUUCUGGAUCAUUACUGACACUGAGGAACGAAAGCAUGGGUAGCGAAGAGGAUUAGAUACCCUCGUAGUCCAUGCCGUAAACGAUGUGUGUUAGACGUUGGAAAUUUAUUUUCUGUGUCGCAGCGAAAGCAAUAAACACACCGCCUGGGGAGUACGACCGCAAGGUUAAAACUCAAAUGAAUUGACGGGGACCCGCACAAGUAGUGGAGCAUGUGGUUUAAUUCGAAGAUACGCGCAGAACCUUACCAACACUUGACAUGUUCGUCGCGACUUUAAGAGAUUAAAGUUUUCGGUUCGGCCGGACGAAACACAGGUGCUGCAUGGCUGUCGUCAGCUCGUGUCGUGAGAUGUUGGGUUAAGUCCCGCAACGAGCGCAACCCUCACUUUUAGUUGCCAUCAUUUAGUUGGGCACUCUGAAAGAACUGCCAGUGAUAAGCUGGAGGAAGGUGGGGAUGACGUCAAGUCCUCAUGGCCCUUACGUGUUGGGCUACACACGUGCUACAAUGGCAUUUACAAUAGGAAGCAAGACGGCGACGUUAAGCAAAUCCUAAAAAAAUGCCUCAGUUCGGAUUGUACUCUGCAACUCGAGUACAUGAAGCUGGAAUUACUAGUAAUCGCGGAUCAGCGCGCCGCGGUGAAUACGUUCCGCGGGUCUUGUACACACCGCCCGU
rnacentral:rRNA from 1 species